UACGGAGGGUGCAAGCAUUAAUCGGAUUUAUUGGGCGUAAAGGGCGCGUAGGCGGGUUAGUAAGUCAGAUGUGAAAUUCCGAAGCUCAACUUCGGAGCUGCAUUUGAAACUAUUAGUCUAGAGGAUUGGCGGAGAAAAUGGAAUUCCACGUGUAGCGGUGAAAUGCGUAGAUAUGUGGAAGAACACCUGUGGCGAAAGCGGUUUUCUAGCUUAUUCCUGACGCUGAGGCGCGAGAGCAAGGGGAGCAAACAGG
rnacentral:rRNA from 1 species